rnacentral:tRNA from 1 species
AUUUAAGUAGUUUAUUAAAAAUAUUGAUUUGUGGUGUCAAUGAUAUGAAUUUAAUUCAUCUNAGAUC